rnacentral:rRNA from 1 species
CGAACGCUGGCGGCAUGCCUAACACAUGCAAGUCGAACGAAGGCUUCGGCCUUAGUGGCGCACGGGUGCGUAACGCGUGGGAAUCUACCCUUGGGUUCGGAAUAACAGUUGGAGACGACUGCUAAUACCGGAUGAUGACGUAAGUCCAAAGAUUUAUCGCCCAAGGAUGAGCCCGCGUAGGAUUAGCUAGUUGGUGAGGUAAAGGCUCACCAAGGCGACGAUCCUUAGCUGGUCUGAGAGGAUGAUCAGCCACACUGGGACUGAGACACGGCCCAGACUCCUACGGGAGGCAGCAGUGGGGAAUAUUGGACAAUGGGCGAAAGCCUGAUCCAGCAAUGCCGCGUGAGUGAUGAAGGCCUUAGGGUUGUAAAGCUCUUUUACCCGGGAUGAUAAUGACAGUACCGGGAGAAUAAGCUCCGGCUAACUCCGU